GGAAACUUUAGCAGUUCCAUUAUCAUUUGUAUAAUAUAAAAUGAGUGCAGAUACAUACAGAAAACUUAACAUACAUUUAUUACUAUGUUGUAGUCACCAGCUCAUAACAGGUACUAUGAACAUAUAAUUUUACAAUAUAUAUCACAGAAUAAUAUUGAUGGUGCCAAUUGAAAACAGAGUUGCAUGUUUUAGUUGACUCACUUGCUGAUCCACUCUUCGUAAGUAUCUCUCACAUUUUGGCUUGCUCCUGAAUUUGUUCCUCUGUGACAAAGAAGGCAUGGAAUCCAAAUGGAACUCUUUUGGGUAAUUCAACAACUGCCACAGGUUCAGCUGACAUUGUUUUCGCAUCAAUUACAUUCACUGAUGACUUUCCAGUGUUCUCAUCAUGUACAAACAAUAUUAAGUAGCCGUCAUCCUCUUCACAUUCAGUCCCAGGCUGACGGGGAACAAAUAUUGCCUCUGAUCCAAAUCUUCCAGGUCCAAGGUCAAAAAUUCCAGGAACAUUUCCACCUACUUCAAGCUUUGUUUUUCCAGUUUCUGGUUCGGCAUGCAAAUCAAAUUUGACAACUCCUGUGAUCUGGGCAACAUUGUUUAAAAUGGUUCCAUAUACAUAGCGUUGCUUCCUUCCAGUGUAGUUCUCGUUGAUCCGUGGAAAAUCAACAGCAGCCUCUGACAGUUUCUUCUGUGAUGCUACACCAUUCUUCAUAUUGAACCUCAUCUCAUACAACUCAUUUGUGAAACCGUCACGCUGUUCUUCUUUUUCAGUUCCUUUAAUCGCGUCAAGAUCUGGAUUCUGCAGGCGGGAAGUGAUCAAGACCACGUCAUCUCCCUCCUCCCAAGCAUUGGCGUUGUGGAAUAUGAAGCAGUUAGGAAGCUCGAACCACUUGAUUAGGGAUUCGUUCUUUGCGUAGCGUGGAAGAACUCCAAAACGAGCCUUCUUUGUGGGGUCAAAGCUGUAUGCCAGCUGUUUAUUUUUCACCAUUUCCUUUGGUCUGAAGUACAAUGGAAGAUCCAUCAUAAUUGCAUAAUUUUCAGUAAUAGCAAAAUCGUGCAUCAUAACAGAUGCUGGUAUCGUUAUUGGAACUGGAUCUUGCAUGACACCAUCCUUGGAUAUGACUCUAUAUGUAGCGAAAGGUGGUGUCUGCGAGUAGCCAAAGGUAAACAUUUCCCCAGUUACAGGGUCAACCUUCGGGUGAGCAGUGAAGGAAUGUUGCAACCUUUUAUCGUAAUCCAGCAUGCCAAGCGUUUGCAGAUCUCCAUCCUCCAGAAUCUUAACUACAUAUGGUUUAUCACCCUCAUGAAGAGCCAAAAGCUUCCCAUGGUGAUAUAUCAUAGCUGUAUUAGCUGUGCCAUUUCCAUAGGAAGUGUCCAAAACUUUCAGCUUUUCCCUGAGCAUGUAUAUAUAUACUGAGAACAACCCGAACAGCCCUUUAAGAUCUCCAAUCUUCAUAAACUUAGCUCCUCCAAAGAACUCUUCUUGCUUAAGACGUGAUGUCCUCACAAAACGUGAGACAUAUGUUGCUUUUCCAUCCUUAAUUUGCAAGCCAUGAAUCAUGCCAUCUCCAUCA
rnacentral:misc_RNA from 1 species